rnacentral:lncRNA from 1 species
CAAGAUUCUUUAGAUUCCUAUCAUUCUAAAACAGAAUCUGCAUUGUCUACAGAAGGUAGUGUGGGAGGCCUGCAUUAAAUGACAGCAAUCCAUGCCCCCCCCCCCCGCCCCUGCCCCGGGAACCACCAACAGUCCUCUCUCUUUCCUUCAGUGGCAACGGGAGUGUCAUCAUAGCCUCUAUGAGAUGAUGCCUCACGUAAAAUGCUCAUAGACAGGUUUUUUCCUGCUGCACCCUCCGGGGGUUGGGAGCAUUAUCAUUGCUCAGGAAUAUUUACCCAGGUCAUAAAUAUGGAGACCUGCUAUGCUCAAAGAUGCCCAAUUGUGGACAUCAAUCUGUGGAGAGGUAAAACUGAGGAUGAGAAGGAUCAACAAAGUUCUGUACAACCCGUUUAUGCAGUCACACAACAUUUGUUCACCCUUCUACAUACCCUUCUGGGUUUCAUGCUAAAGAAGAUUCAAGAGCCAAGGCAUAUCGGACCAUCACCUGCAUGAGCGGGUGGGAGAGGAGUGGGUCACUGAAAUGAGGAAUGGAUUGGAGCCAGAGGGCAAUCAUCCAGCCCCAAGGCUAGUCACUGAAAACAGGACAAAAACCAGUAAAUUAUUUUAGGUUUAAAGAGCCUUCUUCAGAUAAAAGAACAAAGAGGAAACAAAAGACAUACUGGAGAAACAGAAAACAAUUAGCAAGAUGAUAAAUUUAAAUCUAACUAUAUCAAUAAUUACAACCCUAAUUAAAAGGCAGAGAUGAUCAUGUAUCAAUUUUGGCUCAUCAGUUGUGUUAUGGACUGAAUUUUGUCCCCUGACAAAUCCCUUUCUUGAAGUGCUAAUCCAGAGUGACUAUAUCAGGAGAUAUGGUUUUAAGAGCUAAU